GUUUCUUUCCCUCGAGGAGCACCCAGCAGCACACAGACACUGGCACCAGCUGGGGAUCUGCCUUCCAAGUCCGGAGGGAAGCUUUGGCCUCACUCUCCUACGCCCAGCAGUGAGAAGUGGAGUCCAGGGCAUUGCAGUGUAAGCAAAGCUUUAUUGCAAGAGACGAAGCUGUUUUUACUGCCUUAAGGUAUUAUUCUGUAUCUAAAGUGGAACAGCUGAGAACCUACCUGAAGAACGGCUUUUGUCAAUCACAUGUUUGGAAAGGCUAAAGGAGCCACUGGUCAUUGUUAUCCUAUGGGACGAUGGUGCUUUGGCUUGGCACUUGCCCUGAUCCAAUCCCAUGUGGCUGAGGAAGCAGGGCCAUGCAUUCUUCUGCCUAAGGGGAGGCCUUCAGCAGGAGCUGCCCGUGUAGCAGUCUAGAUCAGCGUUUUCAAACCGUGUCCAUGGAGAUGGCUGUGGUGGUCUGUGAAGAAAAGAAAUAAGUUUGGAAACCUGUUUUAUUUACUUAUUUUAAUAUCUGGAGCAUUUGUUUUUAAAGAAAGUUUAGUGAGAUCUUUCCUGGGGGACGACGUAGAGACAGUAAUAAUCCGAUAAGCACCAUGAGCCUCCCUGUUGGGGUAAACUACAUAAUAUUUCCCAAAUAUAUUUGCCCAUGGUACUCUUUUUUAAAUUUUUUUUUCUCCCCUGCAUAACUCUUCCACCAAAAGGCCCAUGUUUUGAGAAACACAACUCACAAACUGUAGUUCUAAAACUUCCCCAUCAGUUUUUCUGAAACUUAGUUUGCCGUGUACCGAAUCAUGAAUGUUUAUGCUGGCAUUUAUUAUUUCCAUUUCAAAUUUCCCAGGCUUCUGUUGUGAGGAGAAUAUUACAUAGAAUCCAGAUGUAUUCUGUGACUUGCUAGUUGCUUUGGGUGUUCUCUUCUUCAUUACUUUGCCCAGAAAGGUUUCUUUGAAAUCUCACCCUGCCCGAGGAAACCUGUCUUCAUUUCACUUGCCUGGGCUAUUCCCAUUGUUCCAGUGUGGGCCCCGUUUAUUGACUGGAUGGUGAACCCCUAGAGGUCAAGGGACCAUGCUAGACUCUUUGCAUUCCUGUUUUCUAGCAUGGGCUCUAGUGUUUAUGAAUUCAGCAAGUAUUUCUUUGGCACCACAGCUUGUGUAGUCUACUGGGGGGUGGAGGAGGCAAGAAGCAAUUGCCAUUAAGACAGGAGGAACAUUAUGUUAGAAGAGAUGCAGGUUGUUCUUGGAGGGCACCUGGGAAGGUUUCUUGAGGGAGGGAUGCCUAUUUUGAGAUCUGAAGAAUAAGCAGGUGUUAGUGGAAAGGGGCCUGAAGACGCAUUGGAAGAAUUCACCUGUUCCUGGAGGAAACAGCAACCCGACCACCUUAUUUCUACAGAAAUAUUCCUUUUCCUCUACUUAGAAGCAGUUUCUUUUGAAUUGUUAAAAUUGUUGAAUUUAUUUUUGAGGUUUCAUGAGGGUUUUGGAGACAUGAUUGAGGGGUUUCAUUUAGUACACAUUUUAUUGCUUUCACAUUCUUAUUGCUGUAAUUAUUAGGAUUCAUUUUCAAAUAUUUAUCCAUUUUGAGGGGGGUAAAACUAUUUUGUGAAAAAUUAAUGUCUGUAACAUUUAAAAUUAAAAAUUUAUGCGUGUGGUAUAAAGCAGUGAAAUAUUUAUGUCUGGCAUGUGUCGUCAUCAAAGUAAAUUUUAUAGACAGAUAAUUUGUUUUAUACUGAUUUUAAUCAUUAGUAUAAUGCUUGACAGGUUUUCACAGCCCAUUUGCAUAUAUUAUGUCAUUUCGUAUGAUAAAUUCACAACAUUUUCAAACAGUAUCAGUCAUGAACUCUUCAAACAGACAUGGAAAGUUGACAAUACCAGUAUUGUCCUUUGCUAAGUAGCCCCAACUCCACAGAUUACGAAGAAACUGAGUCAAAAAGAUGACACGUAAUUAGUCUGGCCACAAAGUGGUAUUAUGUAGGGCACUUAGCUAUUUUUGGAUUACUAAACAUUUAUUCAUUUUGUUUCUUAUGUAAAUUUGGCAGAUUUCUUUACCGGAUAAGUAGUUCAUUGUAAAGAGCCUAGUGAAUUGCUCUUGGUCAUCUUAUGUGAGAAAUUAUUUGUGCUUAAAGAAAUAAUAAUUUAUGCUUUACUUUGCUGACCACAAAGUGCCUAAGAAAGAAAGGCUGCCUGGUAUGGGUUUGAAUUUUGAGUCCCUGGAACUUUGAUAUUCAUUUACAGAGAUGGUUCAAGAUGUUUAAGAUUUGUGACUAUUUCCAGUCUAGUAUCAUACGCAGGUGCAGACUGUUUUAUCACUGGUGGUGUCUUUGCAUGUUCUUAGCCGCCUUCCCAGUUCUUCAGCGUCUUGGCAGUGAUAGCAAGAGCACGAUCUUAAUCAGAGCCCAUUUUUUUCCUAAUAAUAAGAGAGGAAUCUGUUGUUAAUUAAUGAU